ACCUGCAGUCGACGCGAAAGUGGAGCAAUCCAUGAGUAGAGUGGCAAACGGGUGAGUAACGCGUGGGUGACCUGCCUUCGAGCGGGGGAUAACGUUCCGAAAGGGACGCUAAUACCGCAUAACAUCCUGUCUUUCAAGAGAUGGUGAUCAAAGCCGGGGAUCGCAAGACCUGGCACUCGAAGAGGGGCCCGCGUCCGAUUAGCUAGUUGGUGAGGUAAUGGCUCACCAAGGCGACGAUCGGUAGCCGGCCUGAGAGGGCGGACGGCCACACUGGGACUGAGACACGGCCCAGACUCCUACGGGAGGCAGCAGUGGGGAAUUGUUCACAAUGGGCGCAAGCCUGAUGACGCAACGCCGCGUGGGGGAUGAAGAUCUUCGGGUCGUAAACUCCUUUCGAUCGGGACGAAUGGCUUCCGGCCUAAUCACCGGGAGAAUGACGGUACCGAGAGAAGAAGCCCCGGCUAACUCCGUGCCAGCAGCCGCGGUAAUACGGGGGGGGCAAGCGUUGUUCGGAAUUACUGGGCGUAAAGGGCUCGUAGGCGGCCAACUAAGUCGGACGUGAAAUCCCUCGGCUUAACCGGGGAACUGCGUCCGAUACUGGAUGGCUUGAGUUUGGGAGAGGGAUGCGGAAUUCCAGGUGUAGCGGUGAAAUGCGUAGAUAUCUGGAGGAACACGGGUGGCGAAGGCGGCAUCCUGGACCAACACUGACGCUGAGGAGCGAAAGCCAGGGGAGCAAACGGGAUUAGAUACCCCGGUAGUCCUGGCCCUAAACGAUGAAUGCUUGGUGUGGCGGGUAUCGAUCCCUGCCGUGCCGAAGCUAACGCAUUAAGCAUUCCGCCUGGGGAGUACG
rnacentral:rRNA from 1 species